rnacentral:RNase_P_RNA from 1 species
ACAUCAUAUCAAGGUGAUUACCCUGCCAAAAGCAGGGAGGAAAGUCUCGACAUGACACCAGAGAUAGCAGCUAACGGCUGCUGGAUACCUCAUAGCAAUAUGAGGCAAAGGAACGGGCCACAGAGACGAAAACUAGUCGGCUUGCCGAUCAAAGGUGCAACGUAAAGGUCCAUAGCAAUGUGGUACUUUUUCUUAGUCCUGCUGAAGCAGGGCAAGUGGUAACCCCUAUCUCAUGCAAGCGACUCGAAGAAAUAUCGGGCGUGCACAAAGUCGAUUAUAAAUCGACAAGACAAAUGUCACCCACGACAGAAUCGGGCUUAUUGGUAUGAUGUACUU